UUUGGUAGAGGUUGCGUUUGACAUCAGUACAUAACCGGAUGCCGCGGAGGCAGAUGAUGAUUAUGGAAAGGGGAGGACGCCGAAGGAGCAGAGCAGCCGACGGCUAUGUUCCUGGGCAUACGGUGAAGAACCGUAUGACUGUCAUCGCAAGAUGGGGCGCUAUCG
rnacentral:ncRNA from 1 species